AUUCCAACAGGUAAGCAUAGGGGGAUUUGGAGACGUCCCUCUUCUAAUGUUUAUGGUGGUCAGCGCUGUGUGUUUGAAACUUGCAGAUCCCGAUAAUUAAAGGAAAAGCGUUGUUAGCUGGGCAUAGUGUGCACCUUUAAUUUCAGCACUCAGGAGGCAGAGGCAGGCGGGUAGGGUCUACGUGGUAGAGGAAGCAUGGUGAAGCACAGGGGGAGCAUGUGGUGGCCAUCACAGACUAGAGAUCCAGAAAGCCAACGUAAGGGGUGCAGGUGCCACCCACAUUCGGAGUCAGCUUUUGAGUAAUUCUCUCUGAAAUGCCCUUGCAGGCCCAGCCCAAGGUGCGUCUCCCCUGCUCAAGUGAUUCCAAAUCCAGUUGGCAUCUGAUGAGACCAAACCCCAUAGACUCAUAUAAUUAAAUACUUGGUGGAACUGUUUGGGAAGAAUUAGAAGGCAUGGCCUUGUUGGAGGAGUUAUGUCACUGGGGUUUCAAGAGCCCACGCCAUUCCCAGCCUCCGUUUGACUGACCUCCCUUGCUGAAUCGGCUAUGAUCUCAAGUGGUGAUAGACAGAAGCGGGAAGAAUGCUGGCUGUUGUCUUCCCUGUGACCUUAGACUGAAAGCUAAUGUCCUGUUGUAUGCUCCCCUCAGACCGUCUCUUGUCCCCAUUGAUGCCGUAAUUUGCCAAGAACUCUGCUUAAUUACAACUGGAUGCUGACUUUUAUUAUAUGAGAUCAUUAUAUAAUUUUUAUCCUUCUGUUUCAUUAUAUCAAAAGCUAGCUUUGCAUUUCUUCAAUAAAUCCGAUUUUGUUGUGACAUAUGA